ensembl:lncRNA JTB-DT JTB divergent transcript
GGUCUUGGUAGUCUUUGCGAGAACGGCAAAUGGCGGUUGCAGAGGCUCGUCCGAAUUCUCGGCUCGCUGCUCCCUGGCUGGCGCGUGUUUGUUCAUUCUGGGCUAGGUGAGCAGGGACAAUACGUCGCCCUCUCAGGACUUUGCUCUCUCCUUAAAACCCGAGGAUUCACCGUCAAGCUUCUGGUUUCUCUGACAUCCUUCCCCAGCCGCCCCUUCAUCGCCACCGAUGAUCCAGUGGAGAAGCUGUGUUGGAGGUCAAGGGAUGGAGGCGAAACUGCGCGUUCUCGUCCCUGCAGAAACCGGAAUAUCCGAGACACAUGACGAACAUGAAACUUUCUCCUUGUCUCUUGGCUCCCACUCCGCUACACAGAUGAACGGUGUUACCUUCCCUCAUGUUACUUUGCUAAGCCUACUCCUCAGAGCUGGUCCUUUGCAUAACCUCUUCAAAUGCUCUCAACUCUCCCUUGCUCCUACAUAAUGGAGUAAUCAUAAGUGCAAUGAGAAAAGCAUGAGAUUUGAAGUUCCAUAAGUAUUGAGUCUAGGUUCUGGUGGUUAUUAACUCCAUGAUCUUAGGAAAGUAUCUGUCAGUGUUCUGUGUAAAACGGAAAUGCUAAUGUGUAUUUACCAGGACUUUUUCUUGCGAGAGGCAGAUGAAAUGUAUCUCCGUUUCAUGAGUAAGUUCAGAGAAUAUAAGUGACUUGUCCAAGGUCAGCAAGCUAAUGAGUGGGAAAGCUGAGGCUUGAGCCUAGACUGUCAACACCCAGGCCAAAGAUUCAUUGCCUGCUUUUCAUCUUAUGGAGUUAAACCUUGAUACACACUCAGAUCUGCAGUGACUUGACCAGCACUGUGGGUUCAUGCUUUACUGUCUGAUAACGAAUUUUCAUUUAAUUUUAUUUUUUUUCUUAGACAGGGUCUAGCUCUGUCACCUAAACCUGAUGAGGGCUGAGCCUUCAUUUCGCCGUUUUUUGUUUGUUUGUUUUUGUUUUUGAACGAGAUGGACUCUGGCUAUGUUGCCAGACUGGAGUGCAGUGGCAAGUCACAGGAGCCAUCAUAGCGCAUUACAGCCUGGAACUUCUCGUCUUCAGGGAUCCUCCCAAGUAGCUGGGAUUUCAGGCAUGUGCCACCAUACCUGGCUCUAAUUUUGAAUUUGUUUCUUUAAAUUAUUAUUUGUGUUUGCUGAAAUUGUGUGUGUAUUAUUUUUGUGUAUGUGUGUGAGUAGUUAUAUGUUACAUAAAGUAGGUUGUGGGGUUUUUUCCAGUAAUGUUUAGCUAUAAUUGAAGUUUGGGCCGAAAUCUGCUAGUAUUUGUUACUCCUCACCAAAUCCUACCUUAUCUCACAACAAACUGUAAGAUCUUGUGAUAUUUCACUUCCAAUAACCUUACCAGGCAUCAGAGUGGGGUCUCUACUCUGAAAUUAAAUAUCUGCCAUAAGGUA